AGAGUUUGAUCCUGGCUCAGAACGUACGCUGGCGGCACGCCUAACACAUGCAAGUCGAACGAAGUAGCAAUACUUAGUGGCAGACGGGUGAGUAACAUGUAGGUAUCUGCCCUUUGGCCUGGAAUAACACGAGGAAACUUGUGCUAAUACCGGAUAAGUCUUUACGGAGAAAGCUUUAUGCACCAUUGGAUGAGCCUGCACUUGAUUAGUUUGUUGGUGGGGUAAUGGCCUACCAAGACUGUGAUCAAUAGCUGAUUUGAGAGGAUGAUCAGCCACAUUGGGACUGAGACACGGCCCAAACUCCUACGGGAGGCAGCAGUGGGGAAUCUUGCACAAUGGAGGAAACUCUGAUGCAGCGAUGCCGCGUGAGUGAAGAAGGCCUUUGGGUUGUAAAGCUCUUUCGUCGGGGAAGAAAAUGACUGUACCCGAAUAAGAAGGUCCGGCUAACUUCGUGCCAGCAGCCGCGGUAAUACGAAGGGACCUAGCGUAGUUCGGAAUUACUGGGCUUAAAGAGUUCGUAGGUGGUUGAAAAAGUUAGUGGUGAAAUCCCAGAGCUUAACUCUGGAACUGCCCAUUAAAACUUUUCAGCUAGAGUAUGAUAGAGGAAAGCAGAAUUUCUAGUGUAGAGGUGAAAUUCGUAGAUAUUAGAAAGAAUACCAAUUGCGAAGGCAGCUUUCUGGAUCAUUACUGACACUGAGGAACGAAAGCAUGGGUAGCGAAGAGGAUUAGAUACCCUCGUAGUCCAUGCCGUAAACGAUGUGUGUUAGACGUUGGAAAUUUAUUUUUCAGUGUCGCAGGGAAACCGAUAAACACACCGCCUGGGGAGUACGACCGCAAGGUUAAAACUCAAAUGAAUUGACGGGGACCCGCACAAGUAGUGGAGCAUAUGGUUUAAUUCGAAGAUACGCGCAGAACCUUACCAACACUUGACAUGUUCGUCGCGACUCUAAGAGAUUAGAGUUUUCGGUUCGGCCGGACGAAACACAGGUGCUGCAUGGCUGUCGUCAGCUCGUGUCGUGAGAUGUUGGGUUAAGUCCCGCAACGAGCGCAACCCUCACUUUUAGUUGCCAUCAUUAAGUUGGGCACUCUGAAAGAACUGCCAGUGAUAAGCUGGAGGAAGGUGGGGAUGACGUCAAGUCCUCAUGGCCCUUACGUGUUGGGCUACACACGUGCUACAAUGGUAUCUACAACAGGAAGCAAGACUGCGAAGUUAAGCAAAUCCCUAAAAGAUACCCCAGUUCGGAUUGCACUCUGCAACUCGAGUGCAUGAAGCUGGAAUUACUAGUAAUCGUGGAUCAGCGUGCCACGGUGAAUGCGUUCCCGGGUCUUGUACACACCGCCCGUCACACCAUGGGAGUUGGUUCUACCUUAAGGCAAGGUUUCAAACCCUUGACCACGGUAUAGUCAGCGACUGGGGUGAAGUCGUAACAAGGUA
rnacentral:rRNA from 1 species